GACGAACGCUGGCGGCGUGGAUUAGGCAUGCAAGUCGCGCGACGGUUAGUCUUCGGACUAAUACGGAGCGGCGAACGGGUGAGUAACACGUGAGGAACCUGUCCCUACUUUCCGGAUAAUUGGGAGAAAUCCCUUGUAAUACGGGCGAGGGUCUCCGAGGAGCAUUCCUUAGAGAAGGAAGGCGCAAGCACUUAUGUUUGUGUCGAGCAGGGAGGGUCUCGCGGCCUAUCAGUUAGUUGGGGGGUAACGGCCUACCAAGACGACGACGGGUAGCUGGUCUGAGAGGAUGGUCAGCCACAUUGGAACUGAGACACUGUCCAGACUCCUACGGGAGGCUGCAGUCGGGAAUCUUGGGCAAUGCACGAAAGUGUGACCCAGCGACGCCGCGUGGAGGAUGAAGGACCUCUGGUUCGUAAACUCCUUUUUAGGGGGAAGAAUGGGCUUUAAGCC
rnacentral:rRNA from 1 species